rnacentral:rRNA from 1 species
UACGUAGGGGGCAAGCGUUGUUCGGAAUUACUGGGCGUAAAGGGCGCGUAGGCGGCACAGCAAGUCGGGAGUGAAAGCCCGGGGCUCAACCCCGGAAUGGCUUUCGAAACUGCUGAGCUAGAGUACAGAAGGGGCAACCGGAAUUCCCAGUGUAGCGGUGAAAUUCGUAGAUAUUCGCAAGAACACCAGUGGCGAAGGCGGCUCACUGGCCCGGUACUGACGCUGAGGUGCGAAAGCGUGGGGAGCAAACAGG